rnacentral:rRNA from 1 species
UGGGGAAUCUUGGACAAUGGGCGCAAGCCUGAGCCAGCCAUGCCGCGUGGAUGAUGAAGGCCCUAGGGUUGUAAAAUCCUUUCGUUGGGGACGAUAAUGACGGUACCCAAAGAAGAAGCUCCGGCUAACUUCGUGCCAGCAGCCGCGGUAAUACGAAGGGGGCUAGCGUUGUUCGGAUUUACUGGGCGUAAAGCGCGUGUAGGCGGGUCGUUAAGUUGGGGGUGAAAUCCCGAGGCUCAACCUCGGAACUGCCUUCAAAACUGGCGACCUGGACUCAAGUAGAGGCAAGUGGAAUUGCGAGUGUAGAGGUGAAAUUCGUAGAUAUUCGCAGGAACACCAGUGGCGAAGGCGACUUGCUGGACUUGUAGUGACGCUGAGACGCGAAAGCGUGGGGAGCAAACAGG